UAAGGUUAAGUUAAUAAGGGCGCACGGUGGAUGCCUUGGCACUAGAAGCCGAUGAAGGACGUGACUAACGACGAAAUGCUUUGGGGAGCUGUAAGUGAGCAAUGAUCCAGAGAUGUCCGAAUGGGGGAACCCGGCAGGUAAUGCCUGUCACUCAUUACUGUUAAGGUAAUGUAGAGGAAGACGCAGUGAACUGAAACAUCUAAGUAGCUGCAGGAAGAGAAAGCAAAAGCGAUUGCCUUAGUAGCGGCGAGCGAAACGGCAAGAGGGCAAACCGAAGAGUUUACUCUUCGGGGUUGUAGGACUGCAACGUGGACUUAAAGACUAUAGAAGAACUACCUGGGAAGGUAGGCCAAAGAGAGUAAUAGCCUCGUAUUCGAAAUAGUCUUUAUACCUAGCAGUAUCCUGAGUACGGCGAGACACGAGAAAUCUCGUCGGAAUCUGGGAGGACCAUCUCCCAACCCUAAAUACUCUCUAGUGACCGAUAGUGAACCAGUACCGUGAGGGAAAGGUGAAAAGCACCCCGGGAGGGGAGUGAAAUAGAACCUGAAACCGUGUGCCUACAACAAGUUCGAGCCCGUUAAUGGGUGAGAGCGUGCCUUUUGUAGAAUGAACCGGCGAGUUACGAUAUGAUGCGAGGUUAAGUUGAAGAGACGGAGCCGUAGGGAAACCGAGUCUUAAUAGGGCGCAUUAGUAUCAUGUCGUAGACCCGAAACCAUGUGACCUACCCAUGAGCAGGUUGAAGGUGAGGUAAAACUCACUGGAGGACCGAACCAGGGCACGUUGAAAAGUGCUUGGAUGACUUGUGGGUAGCGGAGAAAUUCCAAACGAACUUGGAGAUAGCUGGUUCUCUCCGAAAUAGCUUUAGGGCUAGCGUCGAUGUUAAGUCUCUUGGAGGUAGAGCACUGUUUGGGUGAGGGGUCCAUCCCGGAUUACCAAUCUCAGAUAAACUCCGAAUGCCAACGAGAUAUAAUCGGCAGUCAGACUGCGAGUGCUAAGAUCCGUAGUCGAAAGGGAAACAGCCCAGACCACCAGCUAAGGUCCCAAAAUAUAUGUUAAGUGGAAAAGGAUGUGGGGUUGCACAGACAACUAGGAUGUUAGCUUAGAAGCAGCUAUUCAUUCAAAGAGUGCGUAAUAGCUCACUAGUCGAGUGACCCUGCGCCGAAAAUGUACCGGGGCUAAAACAUAUUACCGAAGCUGUGGAUACCUUUAUAGGUAUGGUAGGAGAGCGUUCUAUGUGCGAAGAAGGUGUACCGUGAGGAGUGCUGGAGCGCAUAGAAGUGAGAAUGCCGGUAUGAGUAGCGAAAGACAGGUGAGAAUCCUGUCCACCGUAAGACUAAGGUUUCCAGGGGAAGGCUCGUCCGCCCUGGGUUAGUCGGGACCUAAGGAGAGACCGAAAGGUGUAUCCGAUGGACAACAGGUUGAUAUUCCUGUACUAGAGUAUAUAGUGAUGGAGGGACGCAGUAGGCUAACUAAACCAGACGAUUGGAAGUGUCUGGCCAAGCAGUGAGGUGUGAUAUGAGUCAAAUGCUUAUAUCUAUAACAUUGAGCUGUGAUGGGGAGCGAAGUUUAGUAGCGAAGUUAGUGAUGUCACACUGCCGAGAAAAGCUUCUAGCGUUAAUUAUACUCUACCCGUACCGCAAACCGACACAGGUAGUCGAGGCGAGUAGCCUCAGGUGAGCGAGAGAACUCUCGUUAAGGAACUCGGCAAAAUGGCCCCGUAACUUCGGGAGAAGGGGCGCUGACUUAUGGUCAGCCGCAGUGAAUAGGCCCAAGCAACUGUUUAUCAAAAACACAGCUCUCUGCUAAAUCGUAAGAUGAUGUAUAGGGGGUGACGCCUGCCCGGUGCUGGAAGGUUAAGAGGAGUGCUUAGCAAUAGCGAAGGUAUGAAUUGAAGCCCCAGUAAACGGCGGCCGUAACUAUAACGGUCCUAAGGUAGCGAAAUUCCUUGUCGGGUAAGUUCCGACCCGCACGAAAGGCGUAAUGAUUUGGGCACUGUCUCAACGAGAGACUCGGUGAAAUUUUAGUACCUGUGAAGAUGCAGGUUACCCGCGACAGGACGGAAAGACCCCAUGGAGCUUUACUGCAGUUUGAUAUUGAGUAUCUGUACCACAUGUACAGGAUAGGUAGGAGCCUAUGACCUCGGGACGCCAGUUUCGAGUGAGGCGUUGUUGGGAUACUACCCUUGUGUUAUGGCUACUCUAACCCAGAUAGGUUAUCCCUAUCGGAGACAGUGUCUGACGGGCAGUUUGACUGGGGCGGUCGCCUCCUAAAAGGUAACGGAGGCGCCCAAAGG
rnacentral:rRNA from 1 species